UACGUAGGUGACCAGCGUUGUCCGGAUUUACUGGGCGUAAAGGGCGCGUAGGCGGCGUGACAAGUCACUUGUGAAAUCUCCGGGCUUAACUCGGAACGGUCAAGUGAUACUGUCGUGCUAGAGUACAGAAGGGGCAACUGGAAUUCUCGGUGUAGCGGUGAAAUGCGUAGAUAUCGAGAGGAACACCUGCGGCGAAGGCGGGUUGCUGGGCUGAUACUGACGCUGAGGCGCGAAAGCCAGGGGAGCAAACGGG
rnacentral:rRNA from 1 species